AUGGCAGACAAAAUAUGCUUCUGCUCGUUUCCCCAUUCUAUUGGAGUGAACGUUAGCCCAAUGUUAGCAUUCAGAUCCAUUUUCAGCCCUGGCCCGGAAAUGCCACCUUUUCCUGGCUUUCCAAACAAAGCCCAUCGAAGUCCAGUCCAUCUAAUUUAUUUUUUACCAUUCCAGGACGGCCCAGGCCGCUAUCCGAGUGCAAUCGGCAAAAGCAAGUUUACCUUACUUAUAUUAAUAAUAUAA
rnacentral:lncRNA from 1 species